ACAAUUGUGACUUUAUUUCAUGCAAUUCUGACAUUUUUUCUUGCAAUUGUGACUAUUUCUUGCCUUUUUUUCUCAGAAUUGUAAGAUAUAAAUGCAAUUGUGAGCUAUAAUAUCUAAUUCUGAGAAAAAAAAAACUAAAUUGUGAGAUAAAAAGUCACAAUUACUUUAUUUAUUUAUUAUUUUUAUUCAGUGGCAGAAACAAGCUUCUGUAGAACACUAAAAUCUUGCCAGCGAAUGCAAAAUGUCUCAGAGGAAUGUUUUAUGAGCAAACUCUAAAUGUCUUUGGAAACAGAAAUGUUUUGCAGAAGAAGCUUUGCAAGCAAAUGCAACAUUUCUCAAGGGAACACCAACAUUUUGCAAAUAAAUGCAAAGUUUCUCAGGAAUGCAAAAAAAAAGGAUUGAAGUAUAGUUUUUCCUUCUGUCUCAUAUAUUUUCCCACCCCCAUGUUCUUCUGGAACAUUUUUUUUUCUCAGUGUCUUAAGAGGUUUGGUGAGAUAACAGCUAACAGGAGUAUUGCUCUUAAUGUACAAAUGUUUCUACAUAAGAGAUAAGAGAGCCGUUCAAACAUCCCGACAGCCCAGACAGGGAGUCAUAGUGAUGGUAAAUUGUGUAACAGCCGUGCAGAUCAUUUCCACAGACUGUACUGAUAAACUCUCUCUCUUUUAGAGAUCAGUCAGUCAUCUUACGCUCCACUGGCUAACUUCAGCUGCGGUGUUCUGGCCGGCGUCCUGGCCUCCGUCGUGACCCAGCCGGCAGAUGUGGUGAAAACUCACGUUCAAGUGAGUCCAGAUGUCUUCAGGAGGACAUCAGAUGUGGUGCGAUACAUUUACAAGGAUCACGGGUUGGUGGGUUUUUUCCGUGGCGCAGUUCCUCGCUCUCUGAGGAGAACCAUGAUGGCGGCGAUGGCGUGGACGGUGUACGAGCAGCUGAUGGCUCAGAUGGGCCUCAAAUCCGGAGAGCGAUCAAACACACAUCACAUCACACACUGAACGAGAUCUUCACAGUGGCUCACGGGCCCGUCUGAUGUUUUAGUGUUUGACUCUGAGAUCCUCGACGGUGAGGAUCAUGUGGGUCUGGAAACACGGCGAUAGAAAAUGAUCUGUUUGUCUGAUUGACUGUGAUCAUCAUGGUUUGGCAAACUGCCUUGAUAUCAAUGGAGAACUGAAGUGAGAAAUAUCUUGAACACAGAGAUUGAGCUUUGAAACGCACUUUAACAUGUCAGCUUGUCUUGUCUGUUUUUAUGCUGCUUAUGCUCUGCUCUUAUAACGUUUGUAUACAGUUCAUGAGCUGCUUUAGGACAGUCAUAAUCUGGUGACUUUUAUAGUAUUAUGUUGCAGGUUAUGAUUGACAGGUUAACUUAAUAUGUUGUUUAUCGAGUCAAAUUAUUAUUAUUAUUAAAGUCAGCAUGAAAUGGGA